rnacentral:lncRNA from 1 species
UCUCAAUCGUGGGGACAUCAUUGGGAAUGGAGGGAAAUCAGUGACUGUAUGGUUGUUGCUUUUUAAGUUUCCAACUGGCGUUCCAGGCAAGCCGUGCCUGAGCCGGUGUCUGCCGUGAGAUCUUCAGAGCAUGGUUCCUGGGAAGGUAGAACCAUUAGCUUCUCCCUGUCGAGAACUUUCACCUCUUCACUUAAAGGAAGCACCUUACCGCUUCUCUUUGGCAUCCAAGCUGCCAGCAUCACUACUCUUGUGCUUUGGGGCCAUAAGGGUGACUCGAACACCAGCACCACGAGCCCGGACAGUCGAUCUGAUAACCCAGACGGCUACUAAGUGACUGCGGGGCAGGCUGGUGAACACACGGCGUGAAUGCUGGACAAAUGGAAGGUUCACAUCCCGGAACGGUGGGCACGGCAUUUCCUCACGCUACUCAGCACGACGCGCAACUGAAAACUUAUGAAUUGUUUUUUCCAUUUAAAUUUUCGGACUGCGGUUAACCGUGGGUAACUGAAACCGAGGAAAGUGAAACCGCGGAUAAGGGGGACCACUGUGCUCCCUCCUUCCCUCCCUCGAGAGACAGCCCAGCCCAGUCGCCACAGAGCGCCGAUCGAGAAGGCGUCCAUAAAUAAUCGAAAGCCUGCUUUCUGGCGUUUGCACAUUUUGGACCCCGCUCUGCCCCUUGAAGCCACGCAGUUAUAGCCACGAUCAUAAUUAUGGUCAUAAUUCAACACAUUCAUUAACAUUCAUCGAGCAAUUAUUCUGUCCCCAAAGCUGCUGAGUUAUAACACGAGCUGGCUUCUUCCGUGCUGGAGCCCUUCCAGCUGCAUGGGCGUCAGCACUGUGUUCACGCUCUUCCCUCUUCCCACGGUUCCUGAGGGAUGCAGCGAGCAGAGAGGCGCUCGGUAGCCUUGACUCGCGCUGCCUCCCUCUGCACGGAUGCUGUUUUCUAAUGUCCCUCUUCCCAUGAGCCUGAUGUCCUGUCUUGGCCUGGAUACUAGGCUGAGGGUUUUCGCCAACACACCCAUUUUGCACCCACACUGUGCUUGCCAUCAGCUGACGUCCUCGCCUCUUUGUGUGGGGCCAUGUGCAAAGCCACGUCUCCCUCCUUUUGCAUUUGAGGUGCUGACUUUUUGUUUUUGAUUUUUUUAAAUAUAAGUAGAACUUUGCAUUCUCCUUGGUUGAAUCUUCUGGAUUUGGCCCGUAUAUUCUCCUCAUAUACGAAGCUCACAUCAUCUAGUUGGAGAGGUGUCCCUUUGCAUCUUCACCAGAAGGCCUUUAGGAUGGGUGCAGACCAAGAGCAGAGACCUGUGGCACUCCACUAGUGACUGUCUCCAAGGUUGCCAGCAUCUAGCAUUGUGGGGCAUCUUACAGGAUACCAACAGCUCACCUUGCUGCACAGGUUUGACUGAUGGAGAUGCGAGGACGAUGAAGCAUGUCACACAAUCAAAUGCGUGAUGUGACCCGC